rnacentral:rRNA from 1 species
UGGGGAAUAUUGCACAAUGGGCGCAAGCCUGAUGCAGCCAUGCCGCGUGUGUGAAGAAGGCCUUCGGGUUGUAAAGCACUUUCAGCGGGGAGGAAGGCGGUGAGGUUAAUAACCCCAUCGAUUGACGUUACCCGCAGAAGAAGCACCGGCUAACUCCGUGCCAGCAGCCGCGGUAAUACGGAGGGUGCAAGCGUUAAUCGGAAUUACUGGGCGUAAAGCGCACGCAGGCGGUCUGUUAAGUCGGAUGUGAAAUCCCCGGGCUCAAACUGGGAAAUGCAUUCGAAACUGGCAGGCUAGAGUCUUGUAGAGGGGGGUAGAAUUCCAGGUGUAGCGGUGAAAGGCGUGGAGAUCUGGGGGAAUACCGGUGGCGGAGGCGGCCCCCUGGACAAAGACUGACGCUCAGGUGCGAAAGCGUGGGGAGCAAACAGG